rnacentral:rRNA from 1 species
AGUUCGGAUUGGAGUCUGCAACUCGACUCCAUGAAGCUGGAUUCGCUAGUAAUCGCGCAUCAGCCAUGGCGCGGUGAAUACGUUCCCGGGCCUUGUACACACCGCCCGUCAAGCCAUGGGAGUCGGGAGUGCCUGAAGUUCGUGACCGUCACAGGAGCGACCUAAGGCAAGACCGAUGACUGGGGCUAAGUCGUAACAAGGUAUC